CUUGGGGCGAUGAGCCCCAGGGAGCAGGCGAAUCUCAAUCCUCCCCUCGCCAAGGGCGUCCCAAACCAGCCUUCCCCUCCCUCCCUACACACCCACUCACCCUCCCCCAGUUACAACAGGGAAUCGAAAAGUCCAGAGGAGAAAAGAGAACCGGGGUAGUUCGAAACUCAAAUUCUCCUCCCCCCAGCGCGGGGAUAAGGGCUCCCGGAGGUCGGAGAUCGCACAGGGGCAGGGAAGGGAUGAUAUUACUCAACUCCUGGGGUUAUUUUGAAGAUUAUAAUGCAAGCAAGAUACCAGAUUUAGUGGGUAAGUAAAUGUGAGCUAUUAUGAUUGUUAAUACAACAUAACAGUAAUGCACACACAUUAAGCAAGAUUACUACACCCUGAGCCUUGACCCAGUCUCCCUCUCCAUCAUCCUCCCUUGGGCUCUUCACUGAUAACUAAGUGCAUUGCUUGGUGGCUUCCAAUACAGUUUCAUUCUUCACUCUGCUGGAACUUUGACCCGAAGGUGAUCCAUAAGAUGUAUGAAAUUGUUUUCACCAGGUAAGAAUGAUGUUUAAAUGGCCCUUUGUUUGAGGAAUGACUCAGAGUUCCUCUUUUUCAGGCAUCUUUCUUCAAAGGAUUAAGGCUUUAGGUAGGAUGGGCAUGGUAACAAACCCCAUACUCUAUUCUGAAUGCUUGUACAGGUACACCUGAUGCACUCUCUCACUUACUGAUAAGGAAGAAGGGGAUCCAGACAUUUUUCUUUGAGAAAUCAGUAACAGAUAUAAAGGGGUGGGGAGCUGGUUACCUGGGAGCUCCUUGUUCAUUUGCAUCAGGAACUGCUUCUUUUCCCUCUUCUCCCUUCUAGAAGACUGUUAAGGAGGAGCCUGAAGGAGGAAGGUGGAUCUACCAUGGUCUUGGAGAAAAGCAAGUAGGUUCUCCACCCCUUCUGGAGGGACAAGGAAUAGCACAGAUCAACAAAAAUGAGAAGGAAGCAAUUGGAAAUAGAGAAAAUGAAGGUAAGUACUCUAUUAUGCUAAAAGAAAAAUGGAAGUGAAAAGAGAGGGACAAGAGAAAAGCAGAGCUUAGGAAUAGGGUAAGAGGGGGG